UACAGAGGGUGCAAGCGUUAAUCGGAAUUACUGGGCGUAAAGCGCAUGUAGGUGGGUAGAUAAGUUUGAUGUGAAAGCCCUGGGCUUAACCUGGGAACGCGUGAGACUGUCUAUCUCGAGUUUGACAGAGGGUCGUGGAAGUUUCCGGUGUAGCGGUGAAAUGCGUAGAGAUCGGAAAGAACACCAGUGGCGAAGGCGGACGACCUGGGUCUAAACGUGAACACUGAGGUGCGAAAGGCGUGGGGAAGCAAACAGGGAGUUAAGAUGAACCCUGGUAGUCCC
rnacentral:rRNA from 1 species